UACGUAGGGGGCGAGCGUUGUCCGGAUUUAUUGGGCGUAAAGCGCACGCAGGCGGUUUCGUAAGUUUGGAGUGACAGUGCCUGGCUUAACCAGGCAAGGCCUCUGAAAACUGCGGAACUUGAGGACCAGAGAGGGACAUAGAAUUCCGGGUGGAGUGGUGAAAUGCGUAGAUAUCCGGAGGAAUACCAAAGGCGAAGGCAGUGUCCUGGCUGGUAACUGACGCUCAGGUGCGAAAGCUAGGGGAGCGAACAGG
rnacentral:rRNA from 1 species